UGACAGGAAUUUUCACAUAUAUUUUCAGGUCACGUGUAAACGGAUCACACAGAAAGAUAAGCAAAAUCAGAUGAUGAAGCAAACUGUGCGGGAUCUGGAGAAAGAGGACUUGAAAGAAGAGGAGGACAAGAAACACAGUCAAGAAGCUUGCUAUGGAAGCACUACUCUUCAUUUUUAAUGUCAAUAACAUGGUACUGAAAAAAAUAUAGGAAAUAAUUGUGAUUGUAUAAGCAAGUCUUGUCUUCAGAUCAGCUCCCAACUCCUAGUGGAAUUUACCCCAGGAUUCCAGGUGUUACUGUGGGAGAUUAUACAGAAGAAUAGAUGGAUGAAGUCACCUAGCCAAUGAUGAGUCAAAGGUAGAUUGCAAAGCCCUGUUUCCGUGCCAAUGAAUGUUUUAUCUUUUCUCUUUAAAAAUAUUCCAUUUUUAAUGACCAUUACCUAAGCAUUACAAUUUGAGCCUCUUCUUACAAAACCUUAAUUAAAUUUAAUUAAUAUUGAA